CAGUGAACCAAUUCUUUUUUUAAUUCAAUAACAAUUAACCCUUCAAUUUCAACAGUCUGUAGAAAGUUUUCUGAUGCCGUGUUACAUUACACUAUCUCCUGCUGAGAUGAAUUAAUUGGUUAAACUGACUAGAAAGAUGAAGAGAAUCUAGUAUGGGUCAAUAGAUGUUAUAGGAGGUUUUAAGAAUAGUUGGCACUGAUUUUUAGAUAAUCUAUAUGUGACCCACAAAAAUCAAUCAAUAGUCUAGAAUACAGCUUACACAAACUAUUAUUUUAUUGCUGCAUUGCUACAAUGGAAAUUGGAAGUUAUAUCCCAGAAUCAAGGAUAUCAAUGAGCCAAAGUUACUGAAAACAAUAAACAAAAGGUAUUUUUUCUGUGACCUUCACCUCCACGUGGUAAUUUAAUUGCAUUGAUGGCUUUAACAUUCUACAUUACAAAAAUUGUAAAAAAUUGAUUUGUUGAAAAUUAGUGACUGCAAGGUUUUGCUAACAUACUACAUGUGUACUCUAAUUCUUACAUGCUUUGCAUAUUUACAAUAAAAUUGAGGAUUGGUCUGUUAAAUUUUUUUCUCCCUUGCAAACUUUGAUAUACCAUGUUGCUGGAACUACUUUUGUAACAUAUGUGAAUACUUUAUCAUUUUCACUGUGAUCUAUUUCCAAUAGAUACAAAAUGCAUGCAUGGUAUAAAUGUAGUCCAGAAAAAAUUUAUAAUUAAAAACAAGAGUGAAUGUCUCACCAGCUUAUUUUUCAAUUAUUAUUAAACAAUAAUGCUGAGGUGAAGGUCAAAUGAACCCUAUUGAAUAUCAAUCAGAUUCUAAG
rnacentral:lncRNA from 1 species